rnacentral:snoRNA from 2 species
CCCCUCUUAGGGUCGCACCUGGAGAGUUUCCAGUACUCUACCAGUCUCGACUUAACAUGAGGGAGAGUCAAGCAGAGGCAUACCCAUUCCAUUCCUAGCUUGGGCAGUGACUAGCGAGUGAAAGGCAAACUGCUACAAGU